GGGGCAAUGGCUCGAGCGGUCAGGCGCUAGAUUGCAAAUCUGGAUUACGGGGGUUCAAUUCCCUCUUGCCCCUCCA
rnacentral:tRNA from 1 species